rnacentral:rRNA from 1 species
ACAGCAGUAGCCGCGGGAAUACAGAGGGUGCAAGCGUUAAUCGGAAUUACUGGGCGUAAAGCGCGCGUAGGUGGUUUGUUAAGUUGGAUGUGAAAGCCCCGGGCUCAACCUGGGAACUGCAUCCAAAACUGGCAAGCUAGAGUACGGUAGAGGGUGGUGGAAUUUCCUGUGUAGCGGUGAAAUGCGUAGAUAUAGGAAGGAACACCAGUGGCGAAGGCGACCACCUGGACUGAUACUGACACUGAGGUGCGAAAGCGUGGGGAGCAAACAGGAUUAGAUACCCCAGUAGUCCCUGUCUCUUAUAC